rnacentral:lncRNA from 1 species
CAGGUUUCGGGUGCCCCCAGUGGGCCUCGGGUUCCAGGCAGCUCGUGACAAGCCCCUGUGCUCUCUAGAAAGCCCGUUUUGGCCUGAGUGCGGCUGAGGACAUCACCCCCCGGUUCAGGUGAGACCCAAGCAGGGAGGAAGGACGGGUGGGGAGGAGGAGGGUCUGCCACAGCUCUCCGCACCUCUCCUCUCCCAGGGCAGCCUGUGAGCAGCAAGCUGUGGCUCUGACUCUGCAGGAGGACAGAGCAUCCCUGACGCUUUCAGGGGGGCCCUCGGCACUGGCCUUUGACCUCUCCAAGGUACCAGGCCCAGAGGCAGCCCCCAGGCUGCGGGCGCUGACACUGGGCCUGGCAAAACGCGUGUGGAGCCUGGAGCGGCGACUGGCAGCUGCAGAAGAGACAGCUGUCAGCCCGAGGAAGAGCCCCCGGCCUGCAGGGCCUCAGCUCUUCUUACCAGACCCAGAUCCCCAGAGAGGUGGCCCUGGACCUGGAGUCAGGAGGCGGUGUCCAGGAGAGUCGCUCAUCAACCCCGGGUUCAAGAGUAAGAAACCAGCUGGUGGCGUGGACUUCGAUGAGACCUGAAGGUGCAGCACAAGCGUGGCCCCGCGGGGAGUCCGCCUAUGAGGGGAGAGGCAGUCUUUGAGGCCCCCAUCAGAGACCCCCCGCCACCACCUCCACCUGCCUGUCCUGGGCCAGGACUAACACGGCUCCUCAAAUUCCUUCCCUGUCAAAUAAACAGCUCCCUUGGUUGGAGGCUCUGG